rnacentral:rRNA from 1 species
UUGAACGCUGGCGGCAGGCCUAACACAUGCCAGUCGAGCGGAUGAAGGGAGCUUGCUCCUGGAUUCAGCGGCGGACGGGUGAGUAAUGCCUAGGAAUCUGCCUGGUAGUGGGGGAUAACGUCCGGAAACGGGCGCUAAUACCGCAUACGUCCUGAGGGAGAAAGUGGGGGAUCUUCGGACCUCACGCUAUCAGAUGAGCCUAGGUCGGAUUAGCUAGUUGGUGGGGUAAAGGCCUACCAAGGCGACGAUCCGUAACUGGUCUGAGAGGAUGAUCAGUCACACUGGAACUGAGACACGGUCCAGACUCCUACGGGAGGCAGCAGUGGGGAAUAUUGGACAAUGGGCGAAAGCCUGAUCCAGCCAUGCCGCGUGUGUGAAGAAGGUCUUCGGAUUGUAAAGCACUUUAAGUUGGGAGGAAGGGAAGUAAGUUAAUACCUUGCUGUUUUGACGUUACCAACAGAAUAAGCACCGGCUAACUUCGUG